AACGAACGCUGGCGGCGUGGAUAAGACAUGCAAGUCGAACGGGAUCAGUUUUGUAGCAAUACGAGGCUGGUCCAGUGGCGCACGGGUGCGUAACACGUGAGUAAUCUGCCGGGAAGUGGGGGAUAGCUCGCCGAAAGGCGAAUUAAUACCGCAUGUGACUACCUCUUGAUUAAGGGGGAUGUUAAAGUAGCAAUACGCUUCCUGAUGAACUCGCGGCCUAUCAGCUAGAUGGCGUGGUAACAGCCCACCAUGGCUAUGACGGGUAGCUGGUCUGAGAGGACGACCAGCCACACUGGAACUGAGACACGGUCCAGACACCUACGGGUGGCAGCAGUCGAGAAUUUUUCACAAUGGGGGAAACCCUGAUGGAGCGACGCCGCGUGGAGGAUGAAGGCCUUCGGGUCGUAAACUCCUGUCAUGCGGGAACAAGAAAGUGAUAGUACCGCAAGAGGAAGAGACGGCUAACUCUGUGCCAGCCGCCGCAGUAAAAC
rnacentral:rRNA from 1 species